CUUUUCGUCUCACGAUGCACCUAGAUUANUUAUUGAUCCUGGCUCAGAGUGAACCGCUGGCGGUAGGCCUAACACAUGCAAGUCGAACGGCAGCACAGGAGAGCUUGCUCUCAUGUGGUGGCGAGUGGCGAGACGGGUGAGGAAUACAUCGGAAUCUACUCUGUCGUGGGGGAUAACGUAGGAAACUUUAACGCUAAUACCGAUUACNAACUACGGUGAAAAGCAAGGGCAUCCUUCAGACCUUUCCNCAAUUGAAUUGAAGCCCGAAAGAUUGAAU
rnacentral:rRNA from 1 species